rnacentral:lncRNA from 10 species
CCGGGGCAGGACCCCCAGCCCACGCCCAGGGCCCGCCCCUGCCCUCCAGCCCUACGCCUUGACCCGCUUUCCUGCGUCUCUCAGCCUACCUGACCUUGUCUUUACCUCUGUGGGCAGCUCCCUUGUGAUCUGCUUAGUUCCCACCCCCCUUUAAGAAUUCAAUAGAGAAGCCAGACGCAAAACUACAGAUAUCGUAUGAGUCCAGUUUUGUGAAGUGCCUAGAAUAGUCAAAAUUCACAGAGACAGAAGCAGUGGUCGCCAGGAAUGGGGAAGCAAGGCGGAGUUGGGCAGCUCGUGUUCAAUGGUUUUGUCCGCCUUCCCUGCCUCCUCUUCUGGGGGAGUUAGAUCGAGUUGUAACAAGAACAUGCCACUGUCUCGCUGGCUGCAGCGUGUGGUCCCCUUACCAGAGUGAGGAUGCGAAGAGAAGGUGGCUGUCUGCAAACCAGGAAGAGAGCCCUCACCAGGAACCCGUCCAGCUGCCACCUUGAACUUGGACUUCCAAGCCUCCAGAACUGUGAGGGAUAAAUGUAUGAUUUUAAAGUCGCCCAGUGUGUGGUAUUUUGUUUUGACUAAUACAACCUGAAAACAUUUUCCCCUCACUCCACCUGAGCAAUAUCUGAGUGGCUUAAGGUACUCAGGACACAACAAAGGAGAAAUGUCCCAUGCACAAGGUGCACCCAUGCCUGGGUAAAGCAGCCUGGCACAGAGGGAAGCACACAGGCUCAGGGCUCUGCUAUUCAUUCUUUGUGUGACCCUGGGCAAGCCAUGAAUGGAGCUUCAGUCACCCCAUUUGUAAUGGGAUUUAAUUGUGCUUGCCCUGCCUCCUUUUGAGGGCUGUAGAGAAAAGAUGUCAAAGUAUUUUGUAAUCUGGCUGGGCGUGGUGGCUCAUGCCUGUAAUCCUAGCACUUUGGUAGGCUGACGCGAGAGGACUGCUUGAGCCCAAGAGUUUGAGAUCAGCCUGGGCAAUAUUGUGAGAUUCCAUCUCUACAAAAAUAAAAUAAAAUAGCCAGUCAUGGUGUCACACACCUGUAGUCCCAGCUACAUGGGAGGCUGAGGCGGGAGGAUCACUUGAGCUUGGGAGAUCGAGGCUGCAGUGAGCUAUGAUUGUACCACUGCACUCCAGGCUGGGCGACAGAGAGAGACCCUGUCUCAGAAAAAAAAAAAAGUACUUUGUAAUCUGUAAGAUUUCAACACACACAAAAAAAGUGUAUAUGCUCCACGAUGCCUGUGAAUAUACACACACACCACAUCAUAUACCAAGCCUGGCUGUGUCUUCUCACAAAUGCACUGCUAGGCACCACCCCCAGUUCUAGAAUCACACCAGCCAGUUCACCCUCCAGAUGGUUCACCCUCAACUUCAUAAAAGUUCCCUACCUAAUCUACUGACAGGCUCAUCCCCGACCUAAUUUUAAAGAUUUCCUAGGAGCUGCAAUGGGAAUCCUGGACCUCAGCCUGGACAAAGAACAGCUGCAGGUCAUUCUCAUGUGUGGACACGGAAGCUCUGCCUGCCUUUGCUGGCCAGCUGGGCUGAGCGGGCCUGGGAAAUUAAGGCUGCAGGGUUGGUCCCAGGCAGUCUUGCUGAAGCUUGCCACAUCCCCCAGCCUCCUGGAUUUGCCAGGAUCCAAGAGCAUGGAUUUUAGGAAUUCCUGGUGGAGGAGUGAAGAAAAUGUGACAGGGUGUCCUAAGCCCCGAUCUACAGGAAGAAAACUGGAAAUAAGACUGAGGACUUAGUUUAAGAUGUUCCUACUCAGCCUCUAGCUUUUGUGCUACAGUUCUGGGAACAGACUCCUCUCUCCUGAAAACCACUUCCCUCCGCAGCAUUAAAUUUCACCAAGAUGUCUUGCUUGUGGGAAAGACUUCCAAGGAUGCCUGGAGAGAGGAGGAUGGAAAUGUCCUGCUCUCUAAACAGAUAGACAGAUGCAGCCAGACAGAAAAUAGUUUAUCUUGCUGAGGUUUCUAAUGUAUUUGAAAGAGGCCUGGGUCUAGAAGUCUACCCAGAGGGCUCUGUGUUGUGCACGCAAAGAUAAGAACCUUCCCUGUGGGAGUUCCAGAGCCAGUUUUCAUAAACACCCAUCGGUGACUGUGUUCAGAGUGAAUUCACACCAUCCUGACCUGCCCUGAGUUAGACCUUACAUGGUCUUCCUCCUCUAGGAAGCCUCUGCAGCCCAGGAACCUCCCCUUAUCUGAAAUGAACAGCAUUUGAAGCUUCACCAGACAGACCAGACAGCUUAGCCCUCGUGUUGUGCCAUGUGGGUUGUUCUCUGAGAGGCAGGAGAGCAUAGUGGUUACUAGGAAGGGAAGGACUUUGGGACUAGACUGCCUCGGCUGGAGUCCUCUUUCUGCUUCAUAGCCACGUGAUCCUAGGCAUGUUACCUGUGCCUCAGUUUUCACUCUGUCAAUAUGUAAUAACUGCAUCUGUCUUUGUGGUGAGGAUUCAGUGAGUUAACAUAUUUGAAGUGCUUAAAAAUGAGGCUUGUGUCCAUAGACUAAUGAGUGAAUACACAAAUGGUGAUAUGGACAUACAGUGGAGUAUUAGUCAUAAAAAGGAAGGCAGAGCUGAUCCAUGGCACCAUGUGACAGAACCUCAAAAGCAUUAGGUUAAGUGGAAGAAGCCAGACACAGGUCACCUAUUGUGUAAUUCCAUUUAUAGGAAAUAUACAGAAUAUGUAAAUCCGUGGAGAAAGAAAGCCGAUUUCCAGGGGCUAAGGGGAGGGGAGAAUGGGAAGUGGCUGCUUCAUGGGUA